AGGUCUAAGGGACACUUAUACCUAUAUCCCAUCAGAGACAUUCUCGACAGCAGAAUGCUCUGGAGUUGGUCACGUUCAAUGAUGAUGUACCCUUACAUCUCACCUGUAUGCCAUACCAGUGUCUCCACACUCUUUGGUUAAGAGGACAACCAAUCCAUAUGGCCUACAGCGACCUAUGCUCGAUAGAAACUGUUGUCCUUAUUAACAGCUUAUCAUUUGGUCGUGAACAGUUUUAAGGACUAAUCGAUAAAUCCUCUCUUUAUCGAACUUAAAUAGUCCUAAGGACUUCAUCCUAACAACAGAGUUCAUUAGAAGAUGAAAGCUUAUGAUGAAGAUGCCAAAUAUAUUUUAUUUAUUAACAAAUCAAUUACAAUACUUGGUUGCCCAACCGUCAAC
rnacentral:lncRNA from 1 species